rnacentral:rRNA from 1 species
AUACGGGGGGGACAAGCGUUGUUCGGAUUUACUGGGCGUAAAGGGCGCGUAGGCGGACUCUCAAGUCGGGUGUGAAAACUGGCGGCUCAACUGCCAGCCUGCAUCCGAAACUGUGAGUCUUGAGUACGGGAGAGGAAAGCGGAAUUCCAGGUGUAGCGGUGAAAUGCGUAGAUAUCUGGAAGAACACCGGUAGCGAAGGCGGCUUUCUGGACCGAUACUGACGCUAAAGCGCGAAGGCUUGGGUAGCAAACAGGAUUAGAUACCCCAGUAGUCC